rnacentral:lncRNA from 1 species
CUCGAAACUGCAGGCACCCUUUCCUGAUUCCUUCAUCUGAGAAACGUUGCUCCUCACUUUAUAGUAAGAGCACCAGAGACUGAGUGCAGACAGAGCAAGGCAGUGUAGUUUGUGACUUUUGCAGGGUGUCCCUAUAGGAUGACAGGUGCACACUGGGGGAGUGCUGAGCCCCUCUUUCCUCAUAACUGAGAAAUCAGGAGGGACAAUCUUUUGUGUCAUCUAGGUCCUAACUUUUGUCACUUAGACUUGCCUUUUUCUCUACAGUACUUGUGAGUGGGUGCAUCUCUGUUUCACCUCCUGUUCAUUUUCAAGCUUGUCGGAAACGUGACCUUCUGGGCUUGCCUUGUAAAGCUCACCUGUGCCAGAUGAGAGAACCCGUCAGAACUCGGCGUGACUCGCUGCAUCAAGACAAGCUUCCUGCCCAGCUCAGUCUCGAGACUGAAAAAGCCUGUGUCUCACCUCCCCUGGGCCCCACGCAGGGAACUCACAAUUCACACCAUCAGCGGAGAAGCAGCCCAGUGUGGAUCCGCUGCUGCCCACAAAGGGAACUGUUUGCCUUAGGUUUUUCAAAGAUAUGUCUCGCUUGGACAUGGCUUUUGGAUACAAGUCUAAAGCUGAAGGAAUCUUGUCUUUAUAACUUCACCAGCUUAGAGGAAAACACCUUAUUUUUAUGUCUCUUGGAUAACAGGGAGUAGAAAUAGCAUAGACAAGGGUUUGGGGCAUGGCUCAGUGGCCAAGCCCUGGCUAGAAUGCACAAGACUCAGCAGCAACAACAAAAAUAACAACAGCACUAAUAUAGAAUAAAUAAAAUAAAAGUGAAGAUACAGCAUAGUGGUAGGAGGUGGCCACUGCAGAAGCUGAGACUCCAGGCUCCCUCAAUAGUGGCCAACAACGAUCAGGUACUUACCAAGGACCAGUAACAUCUGUCUGACAAGCAUUCAUCUUCCAAACAGCUCCUUUAGUGAGUGCUCUUGUUAGCAUCACUCUCACCUCACAGUGGAGAAACUGAGACUUGGGGCAGUCAAAUAGUUUCCUCAGCUCCUACAGUAAAUGGCAGGGCUAGGAUUUGAACCCAUGCAUUCCAUGUACCUCACUAUGCUGCAGUAGCCUCCAGUUGGGAUCUGGUCACACAGAAUCCACCUCUCUACCUCCACAGAGAUAAAUAUAAACCAAAAAACAACUUCAGCUGGCUGGAGAGAUGGCUCAUCAAUCGAGAGCACUGGCUGCUCUCCCAGAGGCCCCGAGUUCAUUCCCAGCAACUGCACGGAGGCUCACGACCAUCUGUAAUGAGAUCGGGUACCCUCUUCUAGUGUGCAGGCAGACAUGCAGCCAGAACACUGUAUAUAUAAUAAAUAAAAAUCUUAAAAAAAAACUAGAGAAAUCCUGUCUCAAAGGGAAAAAAAAAAAAAAAAGGACAGUAGGAAUGCGGUCCCUUUGGGGCUGUUGGUUACUGUCUUCUCCAUCCUCCCCAGGUUUCUGCUCUGGAUACUGAGGAGUCCACCUAGCUCUGCAGAGGACACAGCAGGAAGCAGAUGGGGCUUGGGAAAUGGCUUAAGGAAAGGUUGUCUGAAAGGAGAAGCAUUAGCUCAGGAUGCCCAAGGCCAAGUUCUCAGCACAAAGGAGAUUUAUUUUCCCAGGGGGACAGAGGGCAGGGAGUAAGAGUCAAAGACAGGAGAUGGAGGAUGAGGGAGAAGGGGAAGAAACAAGGCGGAGGGGCAGGGGGAUCUGUCCUGGAGGGACAAAGGACUGCCUCUGGAUUCAGAGAAGACAGGCAUGGCCCAUAGGAAAAUGGCGGUUUAUAAAGGUAAAGGGGAAACCCCUGUUUUAGGAUGAGAUAUUUAAUUUUAAUUGGACAUGUUAAUUAGAUGAGCCAAAUGGGGCUUUUGAUUGCUAGAUUUCAAUACUUUGAUAGCUGGACCUUGGGAGGAAGUGGCCAAAUAAUGAAUAGCCCUUGGUGGCUAGGAAUGGUCAGGAAUGUUUUUACCAAGGCAGAGGGGAUGGGGAGAAGGGUUAGGUCUGCCAGAGCCAACGCUCUAGUGUGCUAAAGCCACUCCUUUAUAACCUUUUUGUUUUAUUAUCGGGGUGCUGGGUAAGUGGGUGUCAUUCUCUCUCUGGUUGCCUCCUGCUGACGCUGGGGUAUUGCUGUUAGGGGGCCCAAGGAGGCUGAGAGUUGUUGAUCAAGGCCCAGAAGAGCAUGCUGUGUCAGCCGAAGUCCAGCUAGGGAAGUGUAGUCUGUGAGGCUAGACCAGGAUGUAGGUUCCGAGGAGACAGCUGAGGCUGGCGCUGGAGUUGUUGGAGAAGUCUAGUUGAUUUGAAAUCUUUUGGGACAGAUGUGUAAUUAAGCAGUUUAGAAAAAAAAUGCUUUAUCUUGCAUGCACAUUUGAAACUAUUAGGUUCAUGGUCAUGGUAGUUGGGAAGAGUCCCAAGACCAGGGAAAUGGGGGAGAGAUCCCACCUACAGGAGUGGGCAGGAAAAGGUAGAUGAUUGGCAGGGUACUUAUCUGGAGUCUGUUUGAGAGUUCGUGAGAGGCACCAGGAACAUUUAGAUUGUCUAUAUCAGAUUAACUGGGGACCAACUGUUAUUUGAAAGCAGGAUCUAGUUGUGCUGGGGAGACUAUGAUUUGAGAGGCUUCCCUUACAUCUGAACAGUUUUCCCUGGGGCGUUCACGUGGGUUCUGAAAUUGAGAUAUUUUAGGAACAUGGAUGAUUGGGAGGUGAAAGGUUGAAGAGAACUUAGCUUUGCCUCCCCAAUGGGGACUUGGAUGGUUAAAGGGACAAACAGUCGGUAGGGGAGGUGCAGCACAGGCGACUUGGGUAUCUGCAGGCGUGGGACUGAGGCUGCUUUGAAGAGAGGCAUAGAGCAAGUAGUGGGAGGCACUGAAGAGGUGUCAGGGAAGUUGAGGAGUUUGUUGGAUGACCUUGACUCCAAGGCCUUGACUCCAAGGGAGGGUUUGGUCUGUGUGUGUGUGUGUGUGUGUGUGUGUGUGUGUGUGUGUGUGUGUGUGUGUGUGUAGAUGGCUUUUGGUUUAGUUAUGAUUUGUAAACACAAAGGCAAAUAAAUCUUUGUGCUGAGAACUUGGUCUUGGGUCCUGAAUGGAUACUUUUUUUUAAAUUUAUUUUUUACAUCCCAAU